rnacentral:rRNA from 1 species
AUUGAACGCUGGCGGCAGGCCUAACACAUGCAAGUCGAAUGGUAACAGGAAACAGCUUGCUGUUUCGCUGGCGAGUGGCGGACGGGUGAGUAAUGUCUGGGAAACUGCCUGAUGGAGGGGGAUUACUACUGGAAACGGUGGCUAAUACCGCAUAACGUCGCAAGACCAAAGAGGGGGACCUUCGGGCCUCUUGCCAUCAGAUGUGCCCAGAUGGGAUUAGCUAGUAGGUGGGGUAACGGCUCACCUAGGCGACGAUCCCUAGCUGGUCUGAGAGGAUGACCAGCCACACUGGAACUGAGACACGGUCCAGACUCCUACGGGAGGCAGCAGUGGGGAAUAUUGCACAAUGGGCGCAAGCCUGAUGCAGCCAUGCCGCGUGUAUGAAGAAGGCCUUCGGGUUGUAAAGUACUUUCAGCGGGGAGGAAGGGAGUAAAGUUAAUACCUUUGCUCAUUGACGUUACCCGCAGAAGAAGCACCGGCUAACUCCGUG